CUAGAAACAGGAGUGGAACCUACCUCACCUGAAACAGAUGACUUCUUGGAGAAGAGGGAAUAUUUUAAAAAAUCAGGAUUCUGGAUGGUUUAGAGAAUCACCAGGAAGUCAGGAACAAAGAGUUCCUGGGCAGCUGGCACCACAGUGCAGAUCAUGACAUGGAACACAGAGGAAUGGCUGCUGCCAUCUUUGACCAUGGGAUGCCACAUCUCGAAACACCAACUCUGCUGGUCCCCAGAGCCCAGAUACAGCUACUUGUGCUUCUAUCACCGUGUCCCUGGAAACAGAUGUUGCUGCUAUUACUGGAACUGCCAUAAAAGAUUCUCUGCUGCCUGGCUUUUUUGCUCCCCAAUCUGAGCUUAUGAUAAAUGCCUCACUGUUGCUGCAAGGAGGGGGCCAAUACCCAGGACAACAGGACAGCCAAAAACAAACAAACAAACAAAUGAACAAACAGAAAAGUUCCAGACUCUGGUGAAACACAUGUUUCAGGCCCCUCAGCAAGAGUGGACAAGACAAACAUCUUUACAAGCCCCAACGACCUAAUGUAUAGACCCUUUGUGUGCUUCUGUGGAAUGUCUCCUACAUCAACCCUGGGAGAGUGGGGACCUCCAGAGAAACGGUGUGGGGAGGCCAGUGUGCAGAGAUCUCAGUCCCUGAGCAGGUAGGUUUGCUGGUGGGAGGGAACUGAGUUUAGACCUAGAAAAGGACCACUGAGUGCAAUGAGAUAGGACGGCCCAAGGGCUGUUGAUUUGAACGCCCAUGUGUUUAUAUUCUGGUGUGACUUCUGAUCUGUUAUUUCAUUUUAGGCAUGCUAUUUAAACUUUUUGAGUUUCCUUCUCUGUAAAACAAGAAAAAUAAUAUAUACCUUAUCAGCUAUAGGAAGAAUUUAAUGGGAUGAGGCAAGUUAAAAAUAGUGUGCAUAAUUCUAGCACAUUUAAAUGCUAAGAAGGUGAUUCCUACAAGAAAAGAAAAGGUAUGGCAAUUCAGGUAUGGUUCUAGCAAGUCUAGCUUCUGGGAGGACAAAUCCCUGUGGUCUGACUGCCAAAUUGUACCUCAGUUCACAAGUUUGCUAGAGCUGCAGUCAGGGUCAAGAUGGUGUCUGUGUGCAUUAGAAACAUGGUGUUCAGGACGCAGGAAGUGGAAUCAGGCUGAGGGAAGGAAGGUGGCAGGGACCAGGUAGAUUCUAGGCACCAGUCCUAGAGGGUCCCAGGGUAGCAGGCAGCAGGACUGGCUACAUAAUUUGCCAGGCUCCCUGCAAAAUGAAAAUGUGGGGCCUCUUACUGAAAAAUAAGAAUUUCAAGACAGCAAUAGCAGAGCAUUAAACCAAGCAUGGAGCCUUUUUGAGCACAGCCCCUUCUGAACACAGGGUCUUGUGCAAUGGCAUAGAUUGCAGGUUCAUGAAACAAGUCCUUCAAGGUUUGAGACAAUGGGGAAUUCAGAAUAAAGUCCAGCCUGAGAAAGGCAGAGUCCUGCUGAGUCUCAAGGCAGUGCCGCUGAGCCCUGAUGUGCAUAGGAAUCACUCGCCCCUUUAUGUUAAUACUAUUACUGAUAACAAAUAACAACACCAGUGAUAGCAUUACCUUAGUAGCCUGUAUUUAUUGAGCACAAAUCAUGUGCUAGAAGCAAAGCUAAGUAUUUUACAAUGCAUUGUCUUUUUCUCCCUGGUUUGAAAAGAAUUAAUAAUACCAACCUAUGCCAGGUGAUUGUCAGUGAUCUUAUUAUAUAUUAACUUAUUUAAAGGCAUAUAAACGUUUUACUAUUAUUUUUCAUGCAUCAUCUUGCUUGUGCCUUCCAUCAUCCCUAUAGCUGGUACCAGCACAUUAUGCCCAUUUGACAGAUAUGGAAACUGAAAUUGAGGAAGGUUCAGUAACUUGCCUGUAUCUGUCUGGGUCCAGAGUCCACGCUCUCAAGCUCUCAAGUAGUUGGUCCUCAUUAUAAAUAAACUGAAAGGGAUUGAAUGUUGGCUAACACUAAACAAUUUACAACAUGCUUUCAUUCAUGGUAACUCACUACAGCCACCUGGGAAGCAUUGCUGGUAUCCAGUUUAUGGAUGAAGAGAUUGAGGCCUGGGGGUAAGUGAGCUGUCCAAGUUCACAGCCAGUAAGUGGGAGAAGCCAAGCCCAGGGGCUGGGGGCUCUGUGAGAACAACGUGCUGCCUCUUUUUCAUUGGAGGGACAAUGGAAUGAGGUGUAUGCAAGGAUCUGCAUCCAGCUCCCGAGUCUGAUGAGUUCUGGCAGUGGCUCCAGGGAAAGGAGGAGUCCAGGAACAGAGCUGGUGGGGGAGGCGCUCCCAGGAGUGGCCUUCCCAACAGCAGGUGCUGCACUCCUGCUGCCACUGAGGAGUCACACGUUCCCUCUUCUGAAGGACUCUCCCCUAUUUCUGCCCCUCCCCAAAAGGUGCCUUGAGCUGUCCAGAAGAGACAAACCGAAGCCCUGCACUGGAAGGGAGGAAAAGAGAGAGGAACCCCUCCCCCCAGCAAGGAGCGGAGUUAGCUGAAAACUGCACCGAUCCCCUCUUGGGCUCUUCCUUGGCUGCUGCCCCUUCGGCGCAACUGCCCUUCCUCUUGGGCUUCGGCAGUGGGAAGAGAGCGAGCCGGGUGCUUUUGAGCUGCAGUGCGCGGAGAGGCUUCGCGAGGCUGGGCUCAGUAUUCGUUAAUGAUCAAACAAUUAUUUAUGUUGACAGCCCACAUCUCCCUUUCCGUAGUUUCCAUCUGAAGACUUAGCUCUACCCUUCUGGUGCAGAACAGGAAAGCCUAAUCUGUCUUCCCUGAGAUUCAAGAAAUUCAAGAGGCUGCUCCUCCUGGGGCCUCUGUCGGUAUCCUCCUUGUUGCUCCUAGUUAAACUCUUAUUCCUCAGGUAAGAUGGUGCUGAGUCUACUCACCAUCGGACUGUGGUGUCUAGUAUUGGACACCACAUCCCUGAUGUGCCCUGACACCUCAGUGCUCUCCCACAUAGAACCUAGUGGGCACUGUGUCCCCGCAUCUAUCUGAAGAACUGCUCAAGAGGCUUUGUGGGAGGUCUAGCUCCUCCUCACCCCCUCCAGGCUUGACAUGCCUCCACCCCCACCACCCCGUACCCUUCGCAGCAUACUUCCAGUCAGGCAGCAAUCAGCUUGCACCUGAGAGGGAUCAGCUGUGGUGACUGAGGCUGGCUUGCUCUUGCAGCCCCAGGAACACAGAGAUUCGUGCUGAAGAACCAAAUGGUUUCUACAGUACAAGCAGGCGCCAGGGACUCCGCAGGAGGCAUCACUGGCACCUUCUAAUUGAUGAGCAGUCCAGCUCUGAAGCUGUGGGCUCUAAAGCCAGAUACCUCCUCCAGGUGACUCUGAUCUUCCUCUCCCAGCUGAAUAGAGUGAACUUCAGCGUUUCUGGCCUCCAGUUCCUGAACUCUGCUUCUUCCAAGGCAGCUGCAUAGGUCAUCAAAGAGCUGGAAGCCAAGCACCCUCCUCCAUGUUCUUUCUACUGUACCACGUGGCUUGUGUCGAUACAGACCCUUGGGCUGGACCAAUCCUGGAAGAUCAAGAGCUGACUGGGCCAAGGAGAUGCCAUGAGAUGCAUGCUGAGGCUUCCAGAGGAGACUCUUCCACUCCUGCCAGCUAGACUUGAAGCUGGGAAGAUGGGAUCCUGGAGGCAGGAAGCCAUCUAUCCACCAUGUGGAGCCUAAAUCAACAAGGUAGAACCCAGAGAAGGAAGAAAUUGAGUCCUGAUGAUACCAUUUGAUGCCUGAAUCCAGCUGUACCUGAAACUAGAUUUAUUCCCUGGAACUUUCAGUUUUGAAAGCUGAUAAAUUCCUUUUGCACUUAAGUCAUUUUUGAAUUAGAAUUCCUGUCUCUGGCAACUGAAAAAAUCUCAACUGAAAUGCCUGGACAAGAGACAGAGCACUGCAGUCACCUUUACCAAUCAUUAGGCUGGCAUUCCCACUUUACAAUGUGACUUUUGAACCUGGUUAUGUGAGUUUGCUGCUGAAAAAUGACUUUGGGGUGCACUGCAAAAUUUCACUUGCUAAACUCAGAUGGCUGAGAACCUGGCUGGGGUACAACCCACCCAUGAAAGACACUUCUUGAGAACUUGGUUGGGGUAUAACCCAUCUAUGAAAGUCCCUUCCCGAGUGGCCAUUUCUGGCACUGAGUGACAUCUCUGUGGUCACUGUGGUUGGUACCUUAUUUGUGUCUUCUAAUCACCAAUGUGUCCCUGUGAACCCCCAUCCUUCAUGACAGGGCUGGGGAAGACAGCAAGUACUAGCUCACAUAUCACUCAUCCCUUUAUUCAUUCAGGCAUUCUUUAUUUAUCAAAUAAGUGAACAAGGAAAUGGUAAUAAAUCCAGUUCGUUGACUGAGGUGGGAGUAAUAUUCGAAAUACUGCAUUUUACAACCAGUGUGGUCUACCACAGAAGCUGUAGUACCUGAACAUUUCCAUGUGAGGGCGCCUCCGGGGGAUGCUGGCCUGCACCAGGGACCUUAGCCCAGCCCAGCAUACACCUACAGGGGAGUCAGUGCCAAAUGCCAUCAGGGAACUGUUUCUCUUCAGGGCUCUGGCCAGGAGACAUGUGAGCAAGGAGGUUGGCUGGUGCAUG
rnacentral:lncRNA from 1 species